GAUGAACGCUGGCGGCGUGCUUAACACAUGCAAGUCGAACGAAGCACUUUACUUGAUCUUUUCGGAGUGAUUGUUUUGUGACUGAGUGGCGGACGGGUGAGUAACGCGUGGGUAACCUGCCUCACACAGGGGGAUAACAGUUGGAAACGGCUGCUAAUACCGCAUAAGCGCACAGUACCGCAUGGUACGGUGUGAAAAACUCCGGUGGUGUGAGAUGGACCCGCGUCUGAUUAGCUAGUUGGCAGGGUAACGGCCUACCAAGGCGACGAUCAGUAGCCGACCUGAGAGGGUGACCGGCCACAUUGGGACUGAGACACGGCCAAAACUCCUACGGGAGGCAGCAGUGGGGAAUAUUGCACAAUGGGGGAAACCCUGAUGCAGCGACGCCGCGUGAGCGAAGAAGUAUUUCGGUAUGUAAAGCUCUAUCAGCAGGGAAGAAGAAAUGACGGUACCUGACUAAGAAGCACCGGCUAAAUACGUGCCAGCAGCCGCCGUAAAAC
rnacentral:rRNA from 1 species